AUACGUAGGUGACAAGCGUUAUCCGGAUUUACUGGGCGUAAAGGGCGUGUAGGCGGUCUUGCAAGUCAGAAGUGAAAUUCCUGAGCUCAACUCGGGCGCUGCUUCUGAAACUGCAGGACUUGAGUGCUGGAGGGGAUAGCGGAAUUCCUAGUGGAGCGGUAAAAUGCGCAGAUAUUAGGAAGAACACCGGUGGCGAAGGCGGCUAUCUGGACAGUAACUGACGCUGAGGCGCGAAAGCGUGGGGAGCAAACAGGAUUAGAUACCCUGGUAGUCCACGCUAUAAACGAUGAGUGCUAGGUGUCGGGGGUCAAACCUCGGUGCCGCAGUUAACACAUUAAGCACUCCGCCUGGGGAGUACGGCCGCAAGGCUGAAACUCAAAUGAAUUGACGGGG
rnacentral:rRNA from 1 species